rnacentral:rRNA from 1 species
GCUACUUCAAACCAUCGCGAACUCGUCCAAGUUGCUUCGGCGGCGCGGCACCCCUUAACGGGGGCGCCGCAGCCCUGCCUCUCCGGAGGUUCGGGGCGCCCGCCGGAGGUACGAAACUCUGUAUUAUAGUGGCAUCUCUGAGUAUAAAACAAAUAAGUUAAAACUUUCAACAACGGAUCUCUUGGUUCUGGCAUCGAUGAAGAACGCAGCGAAAUGCGAUAAGUAAUGUGAAUUGCAGAAUUCAGUGAAUCAUCGAAUCUUUGAACGCACAUUGCGCCCGGUAGUACUCUACCGGGCAUGCCUGUUCGAGCGUCAUUUCAACCCUCAAGCCCUGCUUGGUGUUGGGGCCCUACGGCUGCCGUAGGCCCUGAAAGGAAGUGGCGGGCUCGCUACAACUCCGAGCGUAGUAAUUCAUUAUCUCGCUAGGGAGGUUGCGGCGUGCUCCUGCCGUUAAAGACCCAUCUUUAACCAAGGUUGACCUCGGAUCAGGUAGGAAUACCCGCUGAACUUAAGCAUAUCAAUAAGCGGAGGAAAAGAAACCAACAGGGAUUGCCCUAGUAACGGCGAGUGAAGCGGCAACAGCUCAAAUUUGAAAUCCGGCUUCGGCCCGAGUUGUAAUUUGUAGAGGAUGCUUUUGGUGAGGUGCCUUCUGAGUUCCCUGGAACGGGACGCCAGAGAGGGUGAGAGCCCCGUAUAGUCGGCCACCGAUCCUUUGUAAAGCUCCUUCGACGAGUCGAGUAGUUUGGGAAUGCUGCUCAAAAUGGGAGGUAUAUCUCUUCUAAAGCUAAAUAUAGGCCAGAGACCGAUAGCGCACAAGUAGAGUGAUCGAAAGAUGAAAAGCACUUUGAAAAGAGGGUUAAAUAGCACGUGAAAUUGUUGAAAGGGAAGCGCUUGUGACCAGACUUGUGCCGGGCUGAUCAUCCAGUGUUCUCACUGGUGCACUCGACCCGGCUCAGGCCAGCGUCGGUUUUCGUGGGGGGAUAAAAGCUUCGGGAACGUGGCACCUUCGGGUGUGUUAUAGCCCGUUGCUUAAUACCUCCGUGGAGACCGAGGU